rnacentral:rRNA from 1 species
CAGGGGAUUGCCUCAGUAGCGGCGAGUGAAGCGGCAAGAGCCUCAGAUUUGAAAAUCGCCUCGGCGAGUUGUAAAUUGCAGGUUUGGAAGUCUUUUGUGGCGGCGUGUGUCUAAGUCCCUUGGAAACAGGGCGCCAUUGAGGGUGAGAGCCCCGUGCGGCACGCGCUUAAGCUUUAAGACCCUUCUGACGAGUCGAGUUGUUUGGGAAUGCAGCUCUAAGUGGGUGGUAAAUUCCAUCUAAGGCUAAAUACUGGCGAGAGACCGAUAGCGAACAAGUACUGUGAAGGAAAGAUGAAAAGCACUUUGAAAAGAGAGUGAAACAGCACGUGAAAUUGUUGAAAGGGAAGGGUAUUGGGCUCGACAUGGGGACUGCGCACCGUUGCUUCUUGUAGGCGGCGCUCUGUGCGGUUUCUGGGCCAGCAUCAGUUUUUGCCGCGGGAGAAUGGGGGGAGGAACGUGGCUCUUCGGAGUGUUAUAGCCUCUCUCAGAUGCCGCGAGCGGGGACUGAGGUCUGCGAUUCGUUCAAGGAUGCUGGCACAACGGCGCAAUACCGCCCGUCUUGAAACAUGGACCAAGGAGUCUAACGUCUAUGCGAGUGUUUGGGUGUGAAACCCCUACGCGUAAUGAAAGUGAACGUAGGUCGGACCCUUCGGGGGGCACGAUCGACCCGAUCCUGAUGUUUAUCGGAUGGAUUUUGAGUAGGAGCAUAGCUGUUUGGGACCCGAAAAGAUGGUGAAACUAUUGCCUGAAAUAUGGGUGAAGCCCAGAGGAAACCUCUGG